CGCCCGCCCUCCCGCCCGCGCUCGCCCUCCCGCCCGCGCUCGUCCUCCCAUCCGCCUGUUCCUCGGCGCGGGCUCCUGGCCGAGGAAACCGAAGCUCCAGUCAGCGGAGCAGCCGAGAUGGGGCGGGCGGGGUGUCGCCGGCCUGCGGGGCGUGUAGGGGAGCUGUGACGCUGGCGUGGGCGAGCGGACCGCUUCUUCCGUGAUAAGGAGUUGUCGGCUGAACCCAAGGGACAGAGCAGACUGUUUGAGAAAGAUGCUCCGAGCCGAGGGACCAGACUUGGUCUGGAAGGUCAGAUGGGGGCUUUGUCGCUACUGAGCUGAGGCCCCGUGGGAGCGGGCCCCCACCUCGAAGACCGCCUUGCUGGGAGCACUUUCGCUUUGGCGCAGAAUCAGCAGUGGCCACCGGGAUUGGAUCUUGAGAUGGUGGAGGAGAGCAGUCAGGACGCCUAAGUGUUAGCCCAGAGGACCGCAAGGAGGGCACCUGCACCAACCCGGGCGACCCGGUGGAAAGGAGCAGAGUUUGAAAAGACAAGGUCUAUUCUGGGUUGGCCUUGAGCUCACUGUGUAGCCCAGGCUGGCCUCAAACUCACAGCAAUCCACCUGCUUCAGCUUCCGCAGUGCUGGGAUUACAGGCAUGUGCCACCACACCCAGCAGAAAUUUUAGAAAUGGAUGUAACCUUUCUGCAAAAGAAGUGCCACCCCAGGGACCCCGCCCUGGUGAUCUUGUCGAACCCUAGUGACCUCCCAGAGGCUCCACCUUCAAAUACCAUCAGUGCACAAAUUUGAGGACUAGAUUUCUAACAACUGAAGUUUGGAUGACGCAUUCGAACUAUGACAGAGGCUAAAACAACUUAAGUAGUGAUCGAGGGAAAGACACAAACAGAAGCCCUUGGAGACGGGCAGACGGGGCAAGAGCUUAAAAAAAAUCUGGAAAGGAAACUGAGGAAGCAGAAAGGCAAAGACUUGACAAAUGAGAGGAACAAGAGGAUGAGCCAGAGGAUCAGAUGCGGGAGCAGCCACGGAGUGAGAUGCAGGCUGUGAGGGAAAAGACAGAGAGGGAGCGGAGGGAGGAGACGAAGACAAAAGCUGCGCCCGGCACCUCUGCCGGUCCUUUCCAGGGACACAGCUUCCUGGUGAGCUUCGCAAACUUGGAGAAACACCACGGACUCUUUUUUCAGUACCAGGGGCCAAACUCAGGACCUUGCAUUUGGGAGGCAGGCGCGGUACCACUGAGCUAGACCCCAGCCCAGCACCACCGGACUCUGACCGUCACUUUCCCUAUCCACUGUUCCCUUGCUGCAGUGGACACGGGCAGCAUUUUACAAUCCGGCCGACCCGUGGGGUGACCUAGGGUCCCCUUCCCCUCCUCCUCCUCCUCCUCCUCCUCCUCCUCCUCCUCCUCCAGCUCCUAUUCCUUCUUCCCCUUCCCCUUCCCCUUCCCUUUCUCCCUCGCUGUGUCCCUCUCCCUCUCCUUUUCCUUCUUCGCCUUCUUCUUCUUUUUGAGCCAGGGUUUCUCCGUGUAGUUCAGGCUGGCCUUGAACUCACUGUGUAGCCCAGGCUGGCCUCAGACUUGUGGUAAUACUCCUGCCUCGGUCUCCCGAGGGCUGGCAUCACAAGCGCCCACCCCAUGCCCGCCUUCUGCUCCUUUAGGAAAUGUGAUGUCGUCGUUUCAGAACACCCACCCCAUGCUGACCAAGGAGCAAUCUACCCACCAGCACAAUGAAAAGCACUGCACAUCUUUCGGCUGCAGAUGCGAGGAUGAAGAAGGGAGCGAGUGAGGGAGGACAGGGAGGCUGGUGACUUAUACGCUCUCUAUAGAAUGAAUCUCCCUUGUUCUAAUACUGGGGACAAUCGAAAGCCGUCUGCUUUGAGCCAUUUAGCACAUACAGUAGGCUUAUAAAGGACCACUCAGGUCCGGGGAGCUGAACUCAGGUUACUUACAUCAGACUUGCAGAAGUGUCACCAUUGUGCCAGGCUUCAGGAGUGCCCUUGAGAGCACAGUGUCCUAGGGAGGGAGCUGCCAGCUGAACCCAGCAGAGCCCAGCCAUCUAACAUUCAGGGCCUGGUGAGGGAAGGCCUGCCGCGUGUCAGGUCAUUGUCCACACUCAGCUCCCAUCCCAUAUGGAUCAGGGAGUUGGAUUCUGCCCCAGACUUCUGUGAGAGGUGUGUGCUAACACUUAGCUCCAGGCCUGCGUGAAAUAGGCUUCGUCCUUCUCCCAUAGUUUUCUAUGCAUAGCUACCCAAUGGCAUUAUCUAUAAAGGUGAGAUCAGAACAUUGUAGAUCCUGAGGUGGAAGCCUCUCCACAUGGGCUUCUGCAGCCCUGUGUCCUAACCCAGGCUUGAGGUAGACAACGGUGGAGCCAGCAGCAAAGACGCCCCAGGGUCUCUGUGCCCCUGAGUCCUAGCCCUCACCUGGACACACCCACGGAAGCUGGGCUUGGAGCCAGUCUCCUGACCGGUCGACUCGACGGAGGUGGGGGUGCUGUCCCAUCAAGGAGGAGGGAGGCUGGGAUUUGCAUAUCCUAGUGAGAAGAUUUUGGUUCCCUUCAUGAGGGAAUUCACUUGCAUGUAGGCUUGGGACCAAGAUGUGAAGAAAAGGAAGAAAUGAUGAUCUUCAUGAAGACAUUUGCAGAACAAUUGCAGUGUUUUAAUUUUCUUGCAAGAUUUCACAGAAACUCUCUUUUUGCAAUCAAAGGAUUAGCUGCCCUGAGAACCAGGAGGACACCUGCAAGAGUUGUGCUGUGCGGGGCUCUCAGCAUGAAGACGAGGCUCCUGCUUCCCUCCACACGGACCUCAGAUGGAGAAAGUGAAGGUCCUUGGGCUGUUUCUGGGGUGAGGGGCUGGGGGCCUCCGCAGCAUGAGCAGGUGCUGAGACUCAGCAGGGCUCUUGGUGCUGGUGGGGCAGUGCUCAGCUGGGGCAGGACAGGAUGGGGCUUCCUUUCUCCUGCCACAGCUCUGCCUUUAGGUCCACAGGCCUAGGUCAGCGCCCUGCCCACCUGCUCCAUACCACACGCUGUCUGGGAGGACCAGGUGCCUCAGACUCCUGUAGUUGGGACCACCCGGAGGGUGCAAUUCAAUUAUCUUGGGCUUCAGAGACCCACAGAAUCCACCACCCGGCCCCCCACUCCCUAGCCAGGUAAUUAAAUGAAUGAUGCAAAAAAGGAAAAAGGAUUGGUCAAGCUUUUUUGGAUGUAACUGAAAAGCAUACUUUCUCAUCUUUUAUAUUCAUCCCAACAAAGGUAACCCUAUUUUAAAGCCCUGUAUUUGUAUCCUGUGUGACCGAGACUAAUUUAACCCAAAGUAAGACAAGCGUCACGCUCCGCCUGAGGCCAGCGGCCGCUCCUGCCUCUUGUGAGCAUCACUCACCUCAAACUCUCACACAUUGUAAUACUCGAGAAGCUUAGGCCUGGAAGGGCUGUGUCUCCGUGGGUCGACCCAGGAGACUUUGCACAGAAUUGUCCCUUUACAUGAAGUCAGUGUCAGGCACAGCCAAAAGUUUUUGGGUUACCUCUUUGUAAAUCAACAGUUGAGAUUGUUGUUGUGCGUACGUGGGUGUGGCUGGAAUCAAAUGCCCUCUGUGACCAACAGUUCUUUCUUCACACUGCACUGCUUUCAUGCUGGUUCUCAUGAAUAAAACA
ensembl:lncRNA